rnacentral:rRNA from 1 species
AUGCUCCAGAAGCUCCAGGGCCAGCUCGCCGAUACGUCACAGCAACAGCGUGCGCAGAAUCUGGCCCUCCUCCGGCUUGCAGGGAAGGGCAUGCCUCAACUUGGUGGCCUCGGGCUCAUGCAGCCACCUGCGCCUACAUCCAACGCCGGGGACAGGGCCACGCUGUCGGAUCCACCGAUCGUGCUCCGCGACUCCACAAAUCGACUUCCCCCUCUUUGA